rnacentral:tRNA from 1 species
GUUUAGGUAGCUUAAACUAAAGCAAAUCUCUGAAGAAGAUAAGAUGAGACCUCUCCCCAAAUA